ensembl:rRNA 5S_rRNA 5S ribosomal RNA
UCCUAGGCCAUACUACUCUGAACAUACCUGGUAGCAUCUGGUCACAGAAGCUAAACAGACUUGGCCAUGGUUGGUAUUUAAAGGGGAGAAUUUAAUAAAGUGAAGAUGCGCCUUUGUAU